GAAUGCUGACAUAAGUAACGAUAAAGCGGGUGAAAAGCCCGCUCGCCGGAAGACCAAGGGUUCCUGUCCAACGUUAAUCGGGGCAGGGUGAGUCGACCCCUAAGGCGAGGCCGAAAGGCGUAGUCGAUGGGAAACAGGUUAAUAUUCCUGUACUUGGUGUUACUGCGAAGGGGGGACGGAGAAGGCUAUGUUGGCCGGGCGACGGUUGUCCCGGUUUAAGCGUGUAGGCUGGUUUUCCAGGCAAAUCCGGAAAAUCAAGGCUGAGGCGUGAUGACGAGGCACUACGGUGCUGAAGCGACAAAUGCCCUGCUUCCAGGAAAAGCCUCUAAGCAUCAGGUAACAUCAAAUCGUACCCCAAACCGACACAGGUGGUCAGGUAGAGAAUACCAAGGCGCUUGAGAGAACUCGGGUGAAGGAACUAGGCAAAAUGGUGCCGUAACUUCGGGAGAAGGCACGCUGAUAUGUAGGUGAAGCGACUUGCUCGUGGAGCUGAAAUCAGUCGAAGAUACCAGCUGGCUGCAACUGUUUAUUAAAAACACAGCACUGUGCAAACACGAAAGUGGACGUAUACGGUGUGACGCCUGCCCGGUGCCGGAAGGUUAAUUGAUGGGGUUAGCGGUAACGCGAAGCUCUUGAUCGAAGCCCCGGUAAACGGCGGCCGUAACUAUAACGGUCCUAAGGUAGCGAAAUUCCUUGUCGGGUAAGUUCCGACCUGCACGAAUGGCGUAAUGAUGGCCAGGCUGUCUCCACCCGAGACUCAGUGAAAUUGAACUCGCUGUGAAGAUGCAGUGUACCCGCGGCAAGACGGAAAGACCCCGUGAACCUUUACUAUAGCUUGACACUGAACAUUGAGCCUUGAUGUGUAGGAUAGGUGGGAGGCUUUGAAGUGUGGACGCCAGUCUGCAUGGAGCCGACCUUGAAAUACCACCCUUUAAUGUUUGAUGUUCUAACGUGGGCCCCUUACCGGGGUUGCGGACAGUGUCUGGUGGGUAGUUUGACUGGGGCGGUCUCCUCCUAAAGAGUAACGGAGGAGCACGAAGGUUGGCUAAUCCUGGUCGGACAUCAGGAGGUUAGUGCAAUGGCAUAAGCCAGCUUGACUGCGAGCGUGACGGCGCGAGCAGGUGCGAAAGCAGGUCAUAGUGAUCCGGUGGUUCUGAAUGGAAGGGCCAUCGCUCAACGGAUAAAAGGUACUCCGGGGAUAACAGGCUGAUACCGCCCAAGAGUUCAUAUCGACGGCGGUGUUUGGCACCUCGAUGUCGGCUCAUCACAUCCUGGGGCUGAAGUAGGUCCCAAGGGUAUGGCUGUUCGCCAUUUAAAGUGGUACGCGAGCUGGGUUUAGAACGUCGUGAGACAGUUCGGUCCCUAUCUGCCGUGGGCGCUGGAGAACUGAGGGGGGCUGCUCCUAGUACGAGAGGACCGGAGUGGACGCAUCACUGGUGUUC
rnacentral:rRNA from 1 species